GACAGGGGGUGCAAACGUUGUUCGGAAUUACUGGGCGUAAAGCGCGUGUAGGCGGCUAAGUAAGUCGGGCGUGAAAUCCCACGGCUCAACCGUGGAAGUGCACUCGAAACUGCAUAGCUAGAGUCCUGGAGAGGAAGGUGGAAUGCUUGGUGUAGAGGUGAAAUUCGUAGAUAUCAAGCGGAACACCGGUGGCGAAGGCGGCCUUCUGGACAGUGACUGACGCUGAGACGCGAAAGCGUGGGGAGCAAACAGG
rnacentral:rRNA from 1 species